ACUCAAAGGAAUAGACGGGGGCUCGCACAAGCGGUGGAGCAUGCGGUUUAAUUCGAUGUUACGCGAAAAACCUUACCAACCCUUGACAUGGUGGUCGUAGCUUGCAGAGAUGCAGGCGUCAGUUCGGCUGGACCACACACAGGUGUUGCAUGGCUGUCGUCAGCUCGUGUCGUGAGAUGUUGGGUUAAGUCCCGCAACGAGCGCAACCCUCAUCCUUAUUUGCCAGCGGGUAAUGCCGGGAACUAUAAGGAAACUACCGGUGAUAAGCCGGAGGAAGGUGGGGACGAAGUCAAGUCAUCAUGGCCCUUACGGGUUGGGCUACACGCGUGCUACAAUGGUGUCUACAGAGGGAAGCAAGACGGCAACGUGGAGCGAAUCCCUAAAAGACAUCUCAGUUCGGAUUGUUCUCUGCAACUCGAGAGCAUGAAGUUGGAAUCGCUAGUAAUCGCGGAUCAGCAUGCCGCGGUGAAUACGUUCUCGGGCCUUGUACACACCGCCCGU
rnacentral:rRNA from 1 species